rnacentral:rRNA from 1 species
AUGAGGCUGGCGUGUGCGCGAGUCAUUGGGUGAAAACCUAAAGGCGCAAUGAAAGUGUCUGGGUGGCCUCCUUUAGGAGAGUCACCCGUAGGGAGGAUGGGCCACCGUACAAUUAUUUGUCGGAGCCCCGCACUCCCGGGGCGUCUCGUUCUCAUUACGAGUGGAGACGCACCAGGAGCGCACACGCUGGUACCCGAAAGAUGGUGAACUAUGCCUGGCCAGGACGAAGCCAGGGGAAACCCUGGUGGAGGUCCGAAGCGAUUCUGACGUGCAAAUCGAUCGUCUGAGCUGGGUAUAGGGGCGAAAGACCAAUCGAACCAUCUAGUAGCUGGUUCCUUCCGAA